rnacentral:rRNA from 1 species
AUUGAACGCUGGCGGCAUGCUUUACACAUGCAAGUCGAACGGUAACAGGUUAAGCUGACGAGUGGCGAACGGGUGAGUAAUGCAUCGGAACGUGCCCGAUCGGGGGGGAUAACGCAGCGAAAGCUGCGCUAAUACCGCAUACGACCUGAGGACGAAAGCUGGGGACUGUAAGGCCUAGAGCGAUCCGAGCGGCCGAGGUCAGAUUAGGUAGUUGGCGGGGUAACGGUUCAGCCAGCUGACGAUCUGUAGCUGGUCUGAGAGGACGACCAGCCACACCGGGCAGGAAACACGGCCCAGACUCCGGCGGGAGGCAGCAGUGGAGAAUUUUGGACAAUGGGCGAAAGCCUGAUCCAGCAAUGCCGCGUGCAGGAAGAAGGCCUUCGGGUUGUAAACUGCUUUUGUACGGAGCGAAAAGGCUCUCUCUAAUACAGGGGUCUCAUGACGUUACCGUAAGAAUAAGCACCGGCUAACUACGUGCCAGCAGCCGCGGUAA